rnacentral:rRNA from 1 species
UGGGGAAUAUUGGACAAUGGGCGAAAGCCUGAUCCAGCCAUGCCGCGUGUGUGAAGAAGGUCUUCGGAUUGUAAAGCACUUUAAGUUGGGAGGAAGGGCAGUAAGCGAAUACCUUGCUGUUUUGACGUUACCGACAGAAUAAGCACCGGCUAACUCUGUGCCAGCAGCCGCGGUAAUACAGAGGGUGCAAGCGUUAAUCGGAAUUACUGGGCGUAAAGCGCGCGUAGGUGGUUCGUUAAGUUGAAUGUGGAAGCCCCGGGCUCAACCUGGGAACUGCAUCCAAGACUGGCGAGCUAGAGUAGGGCAGAGGGUGGUGGAAUUUCCUGUGUAGCGGUGAAAUGCGUAGAUAUAGGAAGGAACACCAGUGGCGAAGGCGACCACCUGGGCUCAUACUGACACUGAGGUGCGAAAGCGUGGGGAGCAAACAGG